AACCGCUGCUUGGGUCACGGGGAAACCUCCUUGGGCUUUCGCGGCCCGGUCGGUGUUCGCGACGGCGGCGGGUCUGACUCCCGUUGGCGGUUAC
rnacentral:tRNA from 1 species